AUACGUAGGGGGCGAGCGUUGUCCGGAAUGAUUGGGCGUAAAGGGCGCGCAGGCGGCGCGGUAAGUCUGGAGUGAAAGUCCUGCUUUCAAGGUGGGAAUUGCUUUGGAUACUGCCGCGCUUGAGUGCAGGAGAGGUUAUCGGAAUUCCCGGUGUAGCGGUGAAAUGCGUAGAGAUCGGGAGGAACACCAGUGGCGAAGGCGGGUAACUGGACUGCAACUGACGCUGAGGCGCGAAAGUGUGGGGAGCAAACAGGAUUAGAUACCCUGGUAGUCCACACUGUAAACGAUGAAUGCUAGGUGUAAGAGGUAUCGACCCCUUUUGUGCCGGAGUCAACACAAUAAGCAUUCCGCCUGGGGAGUACGGCCGCAAGGUUGAAACUCAAAUGAAUUGGCGGGG
rnacentral:rRNA from 1 species